UACAGCCAUAUCACAUUGAAAAACCAGUUCUUGUACGAUCACCGAGGUUAAGCAACUUCGAGCCUGGUUAGUACCUAGAUCAGUGACCACUUGAGAAUACCAGGUGAUGUAAG